AUUGAACGCUGGCGGCAUGCCUUACACAUGCAAGUCGAACGGUAACGGGCCUUCGGGUGCCGACGAGUGGCGAACGGGUGAGUAAUGUAUCGGAACGUACCUUUCAGUGGGGGAUAACGUAGCGAAAGUUACGCUAAUACCGCAUAUUCUGUGAGCAGGAAAGCAGGGGAUCGCAAGACCUUGCGCUGAUUGAGCGGCCGAUAUCAGAUUAGCUAGUUGGUGAGGUAAAGGCUCACCAAGGCGACGAUCUGUAGCGGGUCUGAGAGGAUGAUCCGCCACGCUGGAACUGAGACACGGUCCAGACUCCUACGGGAGGCAGCAGUGGGGAAUUUUGGACAAUGGGGGCAACCCUGAUCCAGCCAUGCCGCGUGAGUGAAGAAGGCCUUCGGGUUGUAAAGCUCUUUCGGGCGGGAAGAAAUCGUAUCAGCUAAUACCUGGUGCGGAUGACGGUACCGGCAUAAGAAGCACCGGCUAACUACGUGCCAGCCGCCGCCGUAAGAC
rnacentral:rRNA from 1 species